CAACAAAUAGGUCUUCCUGCCUCAGAGACUUUGAAUUUAGGGUGGUGGGGGCUCGGAAUGCUGUUUCCCGGGUAGUCUGUGGGGAAACCCAUCCCAUCAGAGAUCUUUCAGUCAGUGUGUCAUCUCUCUGGAAGAACUCCUGUUACCAUCUUUGGCUCAGCCUCUCCAAGGCCCCCAACGCAGCCUCUUGUUUGUCACCCACAACAGCACAUCACUAACCGUAAGAACUUUGUAAAAAGAUUUAACUUCUAGUGCCUUGAGUUUUAACUUUGCCAUGAUGAUAAUGGAAUGAUGCUCUGAAACUAUAAGCCACCCCAAUUAAAUGCCUUCCUUUAUAAGAGUUGCCUCUUUUCACAGCAAAGGAAACCCUAAUGAAGACAAAAUUUGGUACCAGGAGUGGGGUAUUGCUGUGCGAGGCCUGACGAUGCUUUUGUUUGGAGGAAUGUGGAUUUGGGAACUUUGGAUUAGGAAAGCAGUUGAACUUUUUAAGUGGGGCUUAAUGCACCAUCCUAGAAGGAGCAUGGAAGACAGGUGCGCUGAGAAUGAUUUGAAUUUGGGGGCCUGGCUCAAGAGGUUUCAGAGAAGAAUUUUAGUAUGUGGUCUAGAGACUGUUAUUAUGAUAUCUUGUCAAAGAAUAUAGCUGCCUUUUCUCCUUUUCUGAAAAGUCUGCCUGAGGCUAAACUGAAGAGUUUUGGUUAGUUAAGUUGGCAGAGGAAAUUUCAAAACAUCCUAGUCUUGACUCUGUCCUGUGGUUAUUACUGUUCACUCUUAUGAAGAUCUGUAAUGAAAAAGAGCAAGCUGAGCAAAGACAGCUACAAAAUGUGCAGUAUGUGGGGAAGAGAGGAACCAGGAAGUGGAACGAAGUGAAGUCCUACGCUUAAGGAGAUAAACAGAGUAAAGAAAAACCUGAUGUUAAAUGAAAUAAAGGCAAGGCCCCACCCAACUAUGCUUCCAACCUGCAAAAAGGAACUAAAGAGCUAGUUUCAGAACAGCCAAGUUUAGGCAGCAAAGGAAACCAUUGAAAACAGAAAGUUGGAGAAGAUGUAAUUGAAUGAAGGGGUUGGGGCAUGUUCCAGCCCCAGCAAGCAGCAGAACUUGCCAGCUUCAGCCACAUGGUUCUGGCUUUAGAAUCAAGGAUAGAAGAAGUGGUUAUAGAAUCUCUGUGACUAAGGAAAGCCUCUGAGGCCAGGCACAUGUCAGGGGUGGCCUGUCAUGGAGGCCCAGAGAGGCCACUGUGUGAAGCUGUAAAGAUGAAGCCUGGAUUGCCUUGGAGACCCCAAGAUAUUGGAGAUGCCAGAGUCAUGUGAUACCUGCCAAGGAGAGCUGCUAACAGGGUAUGGAACCAGCCUAAGAGAGAGACGCAUGUUGCAGUCAACAAAGCUGAAAGGAGUUGGGGAUCUGAAGACAUCAGACAUGGAGAUGCAGAUUUUGGAGUGUGCCCAGCUGGUUUUCAGUCUUGCUUUGGUCCAGUGUUUCCUCACAGUGCUCCCUCCUCCAUUUGGAAUAAUGAUGUGAAUCCUGUGCUGUUAUAUAUUGGAAGUAUGUGACUAUGGUUUAGAUUUUAUAGGGGAUUACAGUUAGAAGAUUGCAUGAGACUCAGAAGAAACUUUGAACUUUCACAGGGUUGAGACUGUUACAGACUAUGGGGACUUCUGCAGUUGGACUAAACACAUUUUGCAUUAUAAUAUGGAUACACACACAUGCACAGACACACACAUGCACAGACACACACAUACACAGACACACACACACAUAUAUAUAUAUGUACAUAUAUAUACAUAUGUAUAACCUAUAUAUCAGGAAGUGUAAUGUAGUAGUUUGAAUAAAACUGGCCCCCAUAGGCACAUAGUGACACUAUUAGGAGGUGUGGCCUUGUUGGAGGAAGCAUGUCUCAGUUUCUCCUUGCUGCCUGCUGAUCUGGAUGUUGAACUCUCAGCUCCUUCUCCAGCACCAUGUCUGCCUGUUCACUGAUCUGUUCCCCGCCAUGACGAUAUUGGACUAAACCCCUGAAACAGCAAGCCAGCCCCAAUGAAAUGUUCUCCUUUAUAAGAGUUGCCAUGGUUACAGUGUCUCUUCACAACAACAAAAUCCAAA
rnacentral:lncRNA from 1 species